rnacentral:rRNA from 1 species
GGCGGCAGGCCUACACAUGCAAGUCGAGCGGAUGACGGGAGCUUGCUCCUUGAUUCAGCGGCGGACGGGUGAGUAAUGCCUAGGAAUCUGCCUGGUAGUGGGGGACAACGUUUCGAAAGGAACGCUAAUACCGCAUACGUCCUACGGGAGAAAGCAGGGGACCUUCGGGCCUUGCGCUAUCAGAUGAGCCUAGGUCGGAUUAGCUAGUUGGUGGGGUAAUGGCUCACCAAGGCGACGAUCCGUAACUGGUCUGAGAGGAUGAUCAGUCACACUGGAACUGAGACACGGUCCAGACUCCUACGGGAGGCAGCAGUGGGGAAUAUUGGACAAUGGGCGAAAGCCUGAUCCAGCCAUGCCGCGUGUGUGAAGAAGGUCUUCGGAUUGUAAAGCACUUUAAGUUGGGAGGAAGGGCA